CGGCAAUAGCUCAAGUUUAGAAUCUGUGGCCGUCUCGGUCACCGAAUUGUAAUCUAAAGGGGUAAACAAAAGGGGAAAUUGAGGUAUAAGUUCCUUGGAACAGGACAUCAUAGAGGGUGAAAAUCCCGUAUGUAACCUCCGUUGAACCGAAUGUUUUCCUUCUAA
rnacentral:rRNA from 1 species